CCUACGGGUGGCAGCAGUGAGGAAUAUUGGUCAAUGGCCGGAAGGCUGAACCAGCCAUGCCGCGUGAAGGGCAGGGGCCUAAGGGCGGUAAACUUCUGUUGUGCGGGAGCAAGAAUGGGCACGUGGGGCCAGACGAGAGGACCGUACGAAUAAGCAGCGGCUAACUCCGGGCCAGCAGCCGCUGUAAUACGGGGGAUGCAAGCGUUAUCCGGAUUUCUUGGGUUUCAAGGGUGCGUAGGCUGUGAGGUAAGUCAGCGGUGAAAUGCCCCCGCUCAACGGGGUGAAGUGCCAUUGAUACUGCCUUGCUGGAUUGCGGCUGCCGUGGGUGGACUGUGUGGUGUAGCGG
rnacentral:rRNA from 1 species